UACGGAGGGGGCUAGCGUUGUUCGGAAUUACUGGGCGUAAAGGGCUCGUAGGCGGCCAACUAAGUCCGACGUGAAAUCCCCAGGCUUAACCUGGGAACUGCGUCGGAUACUGGAUGGCUUGAAUUCGGGAGAGGGAUGCAGAAUUCCAGGUGUAGCGGUGAAAUGCGCAGAUAUCAGGAGGAACACCAGCGGCGAAGGCGGCGCUCUGGGCUGGAACUGACGCUGAGGAGCGAAAGCGUGGGGAGCGAACAGG
rnacentral:rRNA from 1 species